CCUCGGAUUUAAUGCUGUCUGUUAUGUCCUCCUUAGCAAUGCCUCCAUAUACAUCAAAAACUACGGGCAGCCAACAGCUCGCCGCUCUCCAGGAAGGCCCGCAUGGAGCGGGGCAGGGCGGGCUCGGUCUCGCUGAGGUCCACCACAUCCCCGCCCUCCUUCUCCUCUCCUCUCCUUCCUUCUCCUUCUCCUUCUCCUCCUCCUCCCCCUCCUCCUCC
rnacentral:lncRNA from 1 species